rnacentral:misc_RNA from 1 species
AUGUUAUUGAACAUUACACCGCAACAGUGUCACUAAAAAUAACAAGUCAACCAUUACAAGGUUGCAAUAUGUAAGUUUUUGCAUGUGCCUGAUUAUUUGAUCUCUUUUUUCUGUGAGGGUUGUAGAGCAGCGUGGAAUGAAUGUUGAACUGUUGAAUACUGAAGAAGAGUUCAGGUGUUGGUAGCAGAAAUAUUCACAGAAACCACUGCGACUCAGGUGGACUAUUGUUUAACGUUGGCCUAUAAACUGUCUCUCACCUUCACAGAACAAGAAAACUUGUUA